CAGAGGUACAGGUAUUCACUAAAGCUUAUGUCAAUUUAUGUCCUAUCGGUGUCAGGUUUUUUUGCCUUUCUGAUCAUAAUGUUUGUAUUUCUAUAGGAACAGAGGGAAUUAAAUGGCAGCAAUCAUGUGAUCAAAACGGUCUGAAUGGCUUUUAUGGCCAUAUAUUAGUAUUAAUAAUGUUGAUGGUGCUUAUGGAACAGACUGAUCCAGACAGGACUGCCAAAUGACCUGUUCUCCUUCUGGACCAACUGACCACAGUGCCACCUCUCUAUUACUGCUGGGCUACACCACCUCACUACUGCAGAGACUGCUGCCCUGAGAUGCCAGAGUGGGGACCUGUAUACCAUGAUAAGAACCCCACUUGCUGGAUGAGGAUGUUAUAACUUGAUCAUGUCUUAUCAAAACACAUAUUGUUUGUGGUAUUUCAGCACCUGACUUUCCCCAUGAAGAGGAUUAUGCUCUUUCUGAAGGAG
rnacentral:lncRNA from 1 species